rnacentral:lncRNA from 1 species
UUUUUUUUUUUUUUUUUUGGUAUUAAAAAUACCAUCGUAGUGCUCAUUUUUUGUACACGUGCCCAUGCUCGAUGCCUGUCGAGGGUCGUAGAAGAAGAUGACUUCCUAGGCAGCAGGACAGAGUCUUAGGACUGAGGGGUGGAGGAAGAGAAGGCGUCAGGCUCCAUAGCAGGUCCCUGCAACAUGCUGUCUCCUGCAAUCUCCAUGACAACCCCAGAAGACAGGUCUUUUUUUUUUUUUAUGUCCUAUUCUAGCUAUGAGAAAUCUGAAGUUUAGAAAAAUGGAAUAACGGUCUAAGGUCACACAGCAGGUAGUGGAAGAGGGCAGGCCUGAGGGUGAGACCCUGUCCAUUGCGAUGGGCUGGCAGGUGAGCAUCACUCUGGGGUCCUUCACGUCUGUGAGCAUCACUCUGGGGUCCUUCACGUCUGUGAUUGACUCCCUGGGGGCUGCCCAGGCUGUGGGAGGCUGGGUCCUGGCUUUAUCAAGAUGCUAGUCUUUUUCCUUCCGUCAAGGGUUCUGUAUUUUGUUGUUGUUGUUGUUGUCUUUUUAGGGCUAUCCCAGCAACCUAGGGAGAUUCCCAGGCUAGGGGUCUAAUCGGAGCUGCAGGCUGGCCGCUGCAGCUCCAAUUCAUCCCCUAGCCUGGGUGCAGCCCUAAAACAAGCAAGCAUCAGCUUUAUUGAAGAAGUAUCUGUACCCCCAUGUUCAUUGCGGCAUUAUUUGCAAUCACCAAGGCAUGGAAACCACCUCAGGAUGCAUCAGUGGAUGACUAGAUAAGAGUCAUGAGGUACACACACACACACACACGCACACACGCGUGAAUAUUAUUCAGCUGCCAUGAGAAGGAACUCCUGCCCUGUGGGACAAUGUGGAUGAAUCUUAAGGGCACUAUGCUGAGUGAAAUAAAAAAAAACCCCAAUUAUUGUAUGAUCUCCUUUCUCACUUAAAAGUAGAAUCUCAAACAAAACAAAACAAACCCAAAAACCUAAACUCAUAGAAAAAAUCCGAUUUGUGAUGCUCGGAGGCAGGGGUUGGGGGAGGAGGAAUUGGGUGAAAGUUGUCAAUGGGUACAAACUUCUAGCUAUAAGAUAAAUAACAUCAUAAAUCAGCUAUGCUUCAAUGAAAUUUUUAAAAGGGAUAAGUACCCGGGAGGUCGCGUAAAGAUGGUGACUGUGGUUGACCCUGUGACAUGAUAGGAAAUGAACCUUGUUAGUACAUUCUGAGUUCUCAUCACAAGGAAAAAAAUUUUCCAUGUCUUUAAUUUUAUAUGUAUAUGAGACGAUGGAUAUUCACUAAACUUAGGUGAUGGUCAUUUCAUAAUGUAUGUGGGUCAAAUCAUUAUGCAGGGCACUUUAAACUUAACUGGAGCCCCAUGUCAAUGUUAUCUCAAUACAUUUGAAAAAAAAAAUUAAAAGGAAGGAACCCAGAGAAAGCAAAGAGCUCGUUCCCUGACUUGGUGUGGUGCCAACUCUUGUACCCAUUUGUUCCAUUUAAAUUCUCACGGGGAGAGGAGUGAGAUGAAGGGGCUUCCUCAGCAUCUUAGGCCCUGGAAAUGAGCCGUUGUCUGGGUCCCCUGGUGCUUGUUGCUCUGAGAGCUUUGGGGGGGCUGCCCAGGGUGGGGGCAAAAUGGCCUUUCUGUGUGAUUGCAAGGUGUCUGGAAUCCCUGAGACAGCAUGGGGUGAAAGGAUGUCUGACCAAGCCCACCUGGGCAUCUGGUUUCCAGGCCUGAAUCCAGGAGGGCUGCAGGGGGAGGAGCUGGAGUUGGGGCUCUGUCUCGGGGGGAAGUGCAGUAUAAGGAUGCAGGCAAUAGACCUUUUGGUUGUAUUUACUUUGGGGGUGCAGUUGUCUUUGAAGAUGUCCCGAGGGAAGAAGAAGGUUUGACUUUUUAAAGACACUCUUGGCAAAAACCCAGCUGGUGGACCAAGCCUGCCAACAUGGUGGGCAGGCUGUAGAAUUUGAUGGCAGAAAGUGUUGCUAAGUAACGAAGAGGCUGUGAGAUCCAUGAGGGUACCACAUUGGUGCUGUGAGAACUUUGCACCUGAGUGAGAGCCGCGUGUUUUCCUUUCUGACACAUUUUGUAAACCUGGGUAUUAGUAUUGCUUUACACCUUGUUCUCAUAUAUGGUUUCCUAUGUAAAGCAUUUUUCCUUGCCCAUUUUUGGUUUAAAAAUUGGUAAUAUAUACAUAACAUGAAAUUAACCAUUUUCACCUUUGGAAGCAGUUCGGUGGCAUUUAGUACAUUCACUUGGUUGUGCUGCCAUCCUCCUCCUCCAUCUCUUGCACAGCUGAAACUCUGUACCCGUUAAACAGUAACUCUCCGUUACACCCCCGGCCCUGGCCCCUGGCAGCCACCACCACCAUUCUACUUGCUUCUCUAUGAAUUUGGUGGCUCUAGGUACCUCAUAUAAGGGUAAUCAGAGUGUUUGUCAUGCGGAAGUCCCUGGGCCAGGGAUUGAACCAAUGUCACAACAACAACCUGAGCCACUGCAGUGACAGUGCCUGAUCCUUAACCCGCUCAGCCACCAGGAAACUCUUAAAACAUUUUGAAUGGGCAAAUAAUUCUGAAAAAGAAAAAUUCAGCUGAGUAAACUUGAAUAUCUACUUGGAUUUAAAGGGUUUUUUUGGGACACAUUCUGUUUUUAUCUCUAUCUCUUCUCUCUCUCUCUCUCUCUGUCUUUUGGCCCUGCAGCAAGUAGAAGUUCCUGGACUAGGGAUUGAACCUGUGCACAGCAGGGAUCUAAGCCUACGCAGUGAUAAUGCCAGGUCUUUAACCUACUGCUCCAGAAGAGAACUCCCAGUUGGAUUUAUUAAAUGAAUUGGGGUGCACCCCAAUAGGUAGCAAGUAGAAAAGCACCCUGAAGAGCUGUACCAGAGGGAAGGUUUUCAUAGGUAGAGAAGGAAGCCUUCAAGGAAUGAAAAGGCUUAUUUAGGGCUAGGUCCUCUUCCUUUGCGGGGGAGGGCUGGGGUCUGCCUUGCAGAUUACCUCCCUAAUGUGGAUCAGUAAAUUCCAGACUGAUUGGUUUAAAAUUCUACUCCUGGGAGAGGCUAGAACUGCCCUUAGGUUAGGUAUCAUGGUUUAGUUUGUUGCUACGGGGCUUAGCACGGGUGACUCCAUUUUGGGCUGCUUGCUUCUUUUUCUUUUUAACAUCAUUCCUGCUGUUCUCUUAUACCCGCUUGUGGAUUCAUAGAAAAAUACAGAUUGAUCAGGUAUGACUCUGUUUUUUUUUGUUUUUGCUUUCUUUCUUUAUGCUUUAUACCAGUCUGGAAAAGCAAUGUGACAAAUGGUCAGCAACGUGAAAAGAUUGAACUUUUAGAAAAUGACCAUGGAGCAGACUUGGAUCUUUGAAAUUUUUUGAGGGUCCCCCCCUUUUUAAUGUCUUUUUAGGGCCUUACCUGUGGCAUAUGGAGGUUCCCAGGCUAGGGGUCUAAUCAGAGCUACAGCUGCCAGCCUACACCACAGCCACAAGUGACGCCAGAUCUGAGCCGUGUCUGCAACCUACACUGCAGCGCUUGGCAACACCAGAUCCUUAACCCACUGAGCAAAGCCAGAGAUCGAACCCACAUCCCCAUGGAUAGUAGUUGGGUUCAUUACUUCUGAGCCACAACAGGAACUCCCUUCUUUUUUAAAAACAUCAGAAGAUAGGGAGUUCCCGUUGUGGCUCAGUGGUUAAUGAAUCUGACUAGGAACCAUGAGGUUGUGGGUUCGAUCCCUGGCCUCACUCAGUGGGUUAAGGAUCUGACGUUGCCGUGAGCUGUGGUGUUGGCCAGCAGCUACAACUCCUAUUAGAUCCCUAGCCUGGAAACCUCCAUAUGUUGCGGGAGUGGCCCUAGAAAAGACAAAAAGACAAAAAAAAACCCAAAAAACAAAAAAAACUAUCAGAAGAUAUGAGCUCCCCCCCAGGUCUUUGUCAGGAGUGCCUUGAAAGGGGGGAUCCUGAGAAACUUGAAGGAUAAAUUGAGUCCUUUAAAGAAAUUUAGGAAAUGACAGCUAGGCAUGGUUCACACCAUUCCUAAAACAUGUAGGCCCCUCCUGGAGAGAGAGGAUUCAUGGGAUUUUUUUUACCCCCUCCUGAAACAAGUGUGCCCAGCUCUCUGAAAACAGGUUGUGUGAUUCUCAUAUGGAGCAGUUCCUGCUCCCUCAGCCCGUCGGCCAGAGAAGGGCUGGUUCAUGGCCAAGGCGCAGCAUCUGUGCAUCUUCAGAGGGGCCAGUGUGCACCUGUGGAGUGGGGGCUGAUGGGCACGUUGUCUGCCUCUCUUUGGCUUCCUCAUCUGUCAUUGGAUGUUGCUGCCUAAGUAGUGGGCAUAUUUGAUCCACAUAACCACCAAGUGGAUUGACAGCUGAAAUGUGUGAGGCCUGAGGAAGUUCAAGUUCAAAGACCGUGACCUUCCUCCAGGGGCCAUGGUAGAAAUCUGCUCGGAUGCUUGAGUUAGGGGGCACAGAUGCCACCGACUGUGUAGGUAGCUCUUCUUUACUGUCCCUCACUCUCCUUAUUCUGGUACUAGCGUCUCCCUUUUUCUUUGGAGAACCACAGGUGUGGGGGAUGCAGAGAAAAGGAAUGCUUUUGUUGGAGCUGGUGAUACCCUUGAACCCUGAAGGGGGCCCUGUGAUCCAGGCUUGACCUGACUCCCUCUGGCCAUAGUGACCCAGGAGUGGGCACGUGGGAGUCCUCUUUCCCUGGGACCUUUUGCUAUUUUUCGGCCAGCAUUGUCUCAGUUCCGGUUGCACCACAUCCUGGCCCCCGCUUGCCAUGCGUGGCCUUUGGAAUUUCAGACAUUUGGAUGCGUGUGUAUUAGUCUCACGUUGCAUGUUUUAUCUUUCCCUUUUCCAUCUAAACAACUUCAGUGUUUUAUUAUGAAAAAUUACAAAUGUCCAGAAAAAUUGUGAGAAUUUCGUAGUCCCCACUCCUGCGCCCUCACCUAGAAUCUGCCGUUAGCACCUCACUCAUUUAUUUUUUAAUUAAAGUAUAGUUGAUUUACAAUGUUCUGCCAAUUUCUUCUGUACAGCAGAGUGACCCAGUCAUAUUUGUGUGUAUACACACACACACAUUCUCUUUCUCUGUCUUCUUUUUUUUUGGCGGGGGGUUGGGGGGAACACGCACCUGAGGCAUGAGGAAGUUCCCAGGCCAGGGGUCGAAUUGGAGCCGCAGCUACCCACCUACAGCCCGGCCACAGCAACGUGGGAUGUGAACCACCUCUGUGACCUGUGCUGCAGCUCAUGACAAUGCCGGAUCCUUAACCCACUGAGCAAGGCUAGGAAUCACACCUCGCGGACACUGUCGGGUUCUUAACCCACCGAGUCACAACGGGAACUCCUCCUCUUCUUCUGUGAUCUUGCUUUAUCCCUGGAGACCGGCUAUCGUUCCCUGUCAUUAGCACUUUAUUUUGCUUGCUUUAACAUAGAUCUGUUCUUCUCUCCAUCCAUCCAUUGUAUUUUGGGGGGAGGCAUUUCCAGGUAAGCUGAGAACAUCUGUACCUACCCCUCACCCUAAAAGCUUCAGCAUACAGAGCACUAACCACAGCACAGGGCGGGCACUUAUUUUAUUCCUUUGAGGUUUAAUUGACAUAUCGUCCAGUGUGUUUACGUAAGUCCUUUGGUGAGUUUUGGCAGCUACCUACACCUACCUGCGUGGCCCCAAACCCAUCAAGUUACAGAGCGUGGCCGUAGCCUUCAAGCCCCUUCCCCUGUUAGUCCCUGCCCCCACCCACCAGAAGCGACCUUGGCUCUGAUUUUUUUUUGGUCUGCUCUGGACUCUCACUGUGGUUUUCAUUUGCAUCUUCCUGCUGACUAAAGGGGCUGAGCACCUUUGAAUAUGCUUACGGGCAUUUGGGUUUCCUGUCUUGAACCCUGUGUAAGGAUAACUUCCUUUUUUUUUUGGUUGGGCCACAUGAGGGCCAGGGUCCAGUUGCUGGUAUGGGACCAGCGGUAUGUUCCCAUAACAAUUUGCUUCGCAGGUGUCUGCCGUUAUUUGAAGGUGCGCUUUCAUACCCUGUAAGGCUUCCCGAGGAGAAAAUGCUGAGGCGUUAAGAACUCAUCCCCAAAUUGGGUAGCAUGGUGCUCGAAGCCUUAUCUUCUAAUCAUUUCCAGUUAUGUAACUUUCCUCCCGGUGAGUAUGAGUCU